rnacentral:rRNA from 1 species
CACGUUUGACAUGUCUAGUUUGGUCGGCAGAGAUGCCUUCCUUCAGUUCGGCUGGCUAGAACACAGGUGCUGCAUGGCUGUCGUCAGCUCGUGUCGUGAGAUGUUGGGUUAAGUCCCGCAACGAGCGCAACCCUCGCUACUAGUUGCUACCAGGUUAAGCUGAGCACUCUAGUGGAACUGCCGGUGGCAAGCCGGAGGAAGGUGGGGAUGACGUCAAGUCCUCAU